rnacentral:lncRNA from 1 species
AUGAUAAGAACAAAAAAUAUGUCCCUGAUCUAGAUAUACGUCCAGAAUCAACACGUGACGUCAAGAUGGUAGUGGCGUGAUAGUAUAUCAAAAUCAUACUAGACCCAGUAUUUCAAUAAAAUACAUAAACCAAGUUCCUAAUAAAUAAUGCCCUAGGCUCGCAAUGUGAAGUACUGAAAUAAAAGAUAAAUAAAGACAAGGGACCUAGUCACUCUAGAUGCUCAACCCCAACACAACUACCCUUGAAAUCUCACGUAUCUAAUGAUACAUGUCAACCUGCAAAAGCGGUACUACACCAUGGGAAUGCUGCAUCGGGCAAAUGUCACUAGUCUUAACACACAGAAAUGAAAAGAUAGAAGAAAUGCGAAAAGUCAAAGAAGAGAGAAAGAAAACUUUGUUAUUACAACAAUAGCAGUUUCAUUACAUUGGAAAAUGACUUAGCUCACUAUAUAUAGUGACUAGAAUACUUGGCCACCAAGGAUACUUGUAACUAACUAU